GCUUCCGUAGCUCAGUUGGUUAGAGCUUCGUACUAAUACUUGCGUUCUCGUACUGUACUAGUAAUGCGAAGGUCACAGGUUCAAGCCCUGUCGGGAGCA